rnacentral:snRNA from 1 species
GGAUGUGAGGGCGAUCUGGCUGUGACAUCUGUCACCUCAUUGAUCACCAGGGUUGAUUCGGCUGAUCUGGUUGACUGGUCAGGUGUCCCCUUCUUCCCUCAAUGAUCCAUUUGUGCCCCUCCCAAAGCUGUGCCCUCGGUCGAAGAGGACGACCAUCCCUUAUAGAGGAGGACCAUUCCUCAGUCAAGGGUAUAUGAGCAGCUGCGCUCCCUUUCUGGAACCUCCAAACAAGCUCUCAAGAAAUAGAGAGUGGGACAAUGUAGAGAGGAAUUAGUAGAUUAUGCCCUUAGUUGAGACUUGCUUGGUCACUGUUCCAUCACU